ACUCCUACGGGAGGCAGCAGUAGGGAAUAUUGGUCAAUGGACGGAAGUCUGAACCAGCCAUCCCGCGUGCAGGAAGAAGGAUCUUUGGUCUGUAAACUGCUUUUCUCAAGGAAGAGAGAUAGAGAUUAAUCUUUAGAGGACGGUACUUGAGGAAUAAGCACCGGCUAACUCCGUGCCAGCGCCGCGGUAA
rnacentral:rRNA from 1 species